CCUUUGCGUUUGGCACCGCCGCUUCCAAUUGUUCUCUUCACGUGCAAGUGAGGAUUUCAACUCAAAGUCUUAAAUAAUACAUACACCAUAUAUUUUCUCCCUGUCUUACAACUGAAAGGAAGGCUGAUGCAGAGUCCAGGUCCUAGAAGGAAGGCAAGGCUAGACCAAUUCAGUAGCUGCAAGCCAUGCCAAUUUCUCCCUACUGUUGUGCACGCUUGUGGUGCGGGCUACAGCUGGGAGAAAGAUUAGACGUUGAGAGGACGUAACGCGGUGGAUGUGGAUCGGAGUGAGGACAAGAGUUGGGGAUGGCCGGAUGGAUCGGAGGAUGACAGAUGUAAAGUGCCCUAGCUAGCUCCUACAUCUACACAUCUUCCUUUGGUCCUUCUUAUUUCCCAGUUUGUCGUCCAGAGCAGGCAGUCACUGGUGCGUAAAUCAACUGCUCAUUCAGCGGAUGCGGAUCAAUUCGCUUGUGAGCUCUGAAGAAAUAAUACUGAGUAGCUGCUACUAGUAACAGGGGCACGCAGUCAAAAUUAUGGGGUGUUUGGUUCACUGACUUAUUUUUAGCACCCGUCACAUCGAAUGUUUAGAUACUAAUUAGGAGUAUUAAACGUAGACUAUUU
rnacentral:lncRNA from 1 species